UUAGGAUUUCCUAUGCGUGGCCGCGUGUAUUGCCGUGCCUUGGCCAGCGCGUGCAGGGUUAGAAAAUUAUUUUAAUAAUUCCUGGGUGAUCGUGACGUUGUGUAGGUCACUAUGGUAUAUUCAUAUACCCAAUUUAAGCUAUGAAUGAGAAGUUAUUACAUGGUUUGGUAUAUGUGCAUUAAAGUGACGUUUAUAUAGUUGUUUCUCCUAUAGGCAAGACCUAUCCGGAGGACGAGCGUAGCCAGGCUAGGCACGGGGGUUACGACCCAGCUACAUAUCAGUGAGUGGGCAGUUAAACUUGAUAUUUUCCCAGAAAAAUGUGUUUAAAUGAUGAUAUGCCAUAAAUGCCAUGCAUAUGCAUUUAUAUUUCGGGUAUUGAUAGGAGCAUAUUUAUGCAACUUAGUUAACUUGUUUCUUGGCAUUUACUUAGUUUAAUUCUAGUUAUUUUAGUACUUUAAGCUAUUUUCAUGUGUUUGUAGGUUCAAAUAACAAAGUUAGCAACAAAGUGCUAUUUGGAGCAUUUUGGAGCAUUUUUGGGCCAAGAUUGGAUAGUGCAAGCAUAGAGACAUGAGGAUGGAUGUUUUUGAAGAUUUGAAGGCUAGAAAUCAGCAUGUGUGUGUGCAAGUGUGCUGACCUACAACUACAAACAUCCAUCCAUUACACUCAUUACAUUCACUCAUUACCAAACAUACAUCCACUACACCCAUUACAUCCACUCAUUACCAAACAUUCACCCACUACACCCAUUACAUCCACUCAUUACCACAACACUCACCCACUACACCCAUUACAUCCACUCAUUAUCAAACAUCCAUCCACUACACCCAUUACAUCCACUCAUUACCAAACACUUACCCACUA
rnacentral:lncRNA from 1 species